rnacentral:lncRNA from 1 species
CCUGUAAUUUUAUUGAGAAGUAAUAGUACAUAGAUGGAUAACUUAAAUUUGUUAUUAUUAAGACAAAUGUUGCAGAAUCCUUCCAUGACCUCUUCAAUGAACAGUUCUACUCGCUCAUUCUGCUAUCUUUUAACAACGGUUCGGUGAAUUACAUUAACAUUUGUUAUAUUGAUGAACAUGUACCCCAGAAUUGAGAAACAUGAUUAUUUAUUUGAAAUAUAGGCGAAAUACCAGUUAGAACAGAUAACAAGGGCGAUUUUUUUUUAGUACUUGGGCUUCAGAUAUCAAGCAAAAACAGAAUGUUUUCUUUUACUAGUUUUAGCUUUAUAUAAACUUUUAAACAUAUAUCAAUGUGCUAGGCAAUGAUUUUUAAACUUUUAACUCUGUCAGGUCAAACCUGCCAGUCCCAAAUCCAGAUAAAAUAGGAUAGUAAUAAAAACCAAAUAUUGCAAAAGCGCAAAUGUCCUUUUUUAAAAAGCGCAAAUGUCCUAUGAUUUGAAGUGCAAGUGUCCAACAAGAAAAGCGCAAAUGUCCUAUGACAAAACCAACAUAUCAAAAUACAAACUAGCACACACAAAUUCAAAGCACAAAGAUAACAUGUUCUGAUAACAUUUACAUGAUACAUUUUGCUGGAGAAAACUAAAAACAGUAGACCACUAAAUUAUCUGCAAAUAUUCUUCAAACAAUUCUAGUUCUAUAAUGGGAUGUGCCUUCAAAAUAUAUUUUUUAAUUGUGUUAAAUUUUUGAAACCAAUAACAAAAGAUUAGGACUGUACAUCCAUUAGACAGAAAACAAACGAAAAGGGGAAACAAACACAAAUAUUACACCCAAUUUGAUAGUCAAACAAAC